CAGCAGUGGGGAAUCUUAGACAAUGGGCGCAAGCCUGAUCUAGCCAUGCCGCGUGUGUGAUGAAGGUCUUAGGAUCGUAAAGCACUUUCGCCAGGGAUGAUAAUGACAGUACCUGGUAAAGAAACCCCGGCUAACUCCGUGCCAGCAGCCGCGGUAAUACGGAGGGGGUUAGCGUUGUUCGGAAUUACUGGGCGUAAAGCGUACGUAGGCGGAUCAGAAAGUUGGGGGUGAAAUCCCGGGGCUCAACCCCGGAACUGCCUCCAAAACUCCUGGUCUUGAGUUCGAGAGAGGUGAGUGGAAUUCCAAGUGUAGAGGUGAAAUUCGUAGAUAUUUGGAGGAACACCAGUGGCGAAGGCGGCUACUGGCUCGNAUACUGACGCUGAGGUACGAAAGUGUGGGGAGCAAACAGGAUUAGAUACCCUGGUAGUCCACACCGUAAACGAUGAAUGCCAGUCGUCGGGCAGUAUACUGUUCGGUGACACACCUAACGGAUUAAGCAUUCCGCCUGGGGAGUACGGUCGCAAGAUUAAAACUCA
rnacentral:rRNA from 1 species